rnacentral:lncRNA from 1 species
CCAGCACGUACGGCUUGGCUCUGCAAAGUGACACUGGGGAUGAAUAAAUCAUGGGCCCUCUCUUAGCAACCUGACGGCUUCAUCCAGCACCGCUGGUGGUGAAAGAGGGCGCGGGCUCUGCUUUAAGAGCAGGGAGAGCUCGCUGCCGGCUGAGCCGUCAGUGGGAGGUCGGGAGGCCAUGGAGGGGAACACGCACCUCCUCCAGGUCAUCCGUGAGAUGCACUCCCAGAUCGACAAGCUGGAGCGGGAGAACCGGGCGCUGAGAGAGGAGCUGCACGCCUGCGGGCUGAGUGCCGCUGUGGGGGGCAGCAGGAGGGAGAUGGGCAGCCUGCCCUGCCCCACAGAAGGAUCGGACGCAUCGCCCGCAGCCCCAGUGGAUCAGGCAGACACCACCAUGACGGUGCGGCGCUACUCCACCGCGGCAUCGGCACCCUCAAGGCCUCUCCAUGCCGGCAAGCGGCCCCCGAGCAGCGGGCAGCUGGAGGAGCGGGGCAGGGCCGAGCCGCACGCCUGUCCCACUGCAGAGCAGCACCCCAGCGAUGUGAGCAGAGGCCUUGGGAAGGGCCCAGCCAACUGCUUCUCCAGCAGCACUUCCAGCAAAAUGAGGCUGUUCCAGGAGCACGUCCGCAGGUGCAGGGGUAAAGUAAAGGCUGUUAGUUUCCUCUUACCAACGGAUGUGUCCUAUGCUGGAAAUCAAGGUUCUUUCAAAAGCCCCCCAAAUCAGGACACCAAACAGUUAAGUACCAUCACCGAAAGGGAUAUGUGAGCUGGUGAAUUUUUAAAGGCCCGUUGAUUCUCGAGAUAAAUUGGCCUUAAAUGAUAGCUAUGUGUCAGGUUCCUUACCUGCAAAACGCUUUGGCAGGCUGCCUUGGGAGGCUCACCCGGACGGUGUUUCGGGUCACUGCCCCGUUGUUCAGCAAGGAAAUGGAAGCCACGACAAAACAGGCUGGAAGCACACGUGCCGUGAUGGAGUCGCAUGAUAGCAAAGCUCCUCCACAAAGCAGCUUCUGCUCAAUGCAUCUCAAGGCUCCCUCAGAUCAGCACUGCUUUGAACAGGAUGUUAAAGCUGGUUUUGCUAUGUUUGUCACAAAAAGCAGAAACCAAGUCACCUCUCGCGUUUGCUGAUCCCUUGGCAGGUACUUGUUGCAAAUGAUGAAGUAAGAGCUGCUAAAGGACCUGGGAGACUCUUCUGUACUUAAAACUUCGUAUUUCACAAUACCAAUACAGCAAAGCCAAGGGGGUGUCACAGAACCAGUUGACAUCACUCUGAAUUUCUGCAAAACUUAAUGGUGACUGCUGAUGUCUGCUUCAGGUCCAACCCUACAGGAGCACGGGGGAGAAUAAGUGCUAAUCAAUAUGAAGACGUGACUGCAAACGUGUGUCUGAGCUGGUGUCCAUCAGAGAUAGCUGCACACCAGGUCAGAGCAGGAAGGAUCUCAGAUGCUCUCAGGUCCGGUGUCUGAACACAGCUCAGACAAGAAUCAUUAGCGGACAUGCAGCAAACUGGUGCAAAACUAAUGGAAGGGAAAAAAUGGCUUGUAAAAAAAAAAAGUGUGAUUGGUAACUUGGGUCUGGCUGUGUGAGUAAGGAUCUGUCCCACGUGGUGUUUGCUUUGACCACCAGCACUAUUUUUUAACACGCAGGCCGUACUGAUGAGUGAAUACUGCACAAAUUGUCAGUCUUAUUGUCUGCCCUCACGCUCUGGGGUCUUCAAAAGUGAAAGCAGAGAGCUCAUAGACAAAGAGACCACCGAAUGACUUUCAGUGAUGCUGUGUGUGUGUGUGUAAAAAUAUCAGAUCCCCCUUUUUUUUUUUUAUUAUUUUGAAAUGGUUUUAUGUAUUCGUGAACGUUUUUAAUACAUUCCCAAUGAAAUUAUCUUUUCAGUUUUGCUGCUAUUUCAUUUGUGGAUUUUAUUUUCAGCUUGACUCCAUGUGGAGCUGUGUUGUAACGUUAGAAGUGUUUUUAAUCAAAGACUCCCAGCAAAUUGGGUUACGGUCAGGAAAGUUUGCUGAACAGCUCUUUUCUGAAAGCAUGCACAAGGAAAUGCUUUUAAAACGUUUUAAUGAAAGCUUAAUUGCAAGAAACUACAUGUGUGUGAAGUACCUCAACCCAGCUGGUUUCACUUAACAGAAACAACAAGUGUCUUUGAAAACCUGGCCCCUAGGCUUCUAAAGGUACCCAAGUGCUUUUGAAAAUCCAUGCUUGAACACCAGAGCUAAUGGGGUUUGGGAAUCCCUGUGCUACAGCCAGCUUUCAAAAAAGCUCAACUUUUAAAUCCUCCCUGCCUCAACUUUCCCAAAGCAGCAAUGUGAAUUCUGUUCUCCCACCCUUCCUGUGUCA